AUUGAACGCUGGCGGCAGGCCUAACACAUGCAAGUCGAGCGGCAGCGGAAAGUAGCUUGCUACUUUGCCGGCGAGCGGCGGACGGGUGAGUAAUGUCUGGGAAACUGCCUGAUGGAGGGGGAUAACUACUGGAAACGGUAGCUAAUACCGCAUGACCUCGAAAGAGCAAAGUGGGGGAUCUUCGGACCUCACGCCAUCGGAUGUGCCCAGAUGGGAUUAGCUAGUAGGUGAGGUAAUGGCUCACCGAGGCGACGAUCCCUAGCUGGUCUGAGAGGAUGACCAGCCACACUGGAACUGAGACACGGUCCAGACUCCUACGGGAGGCAGCAGUGGGGAAUAUUGCACAAUGGGCGCAAGCCUGAUGCAGCCAUGCCGCGUGUGUGAAGAAGGCCUUAGGGUUGUAAAGCACUUUCAGCGAGGAGGAAGGCACCAUACUUAAUACGUGUGGUGAUUGACGUUACUCGCAGAAGAAGCACCGGCUAACUCCGUGCCAGCAGCCGCGGUAAUACGGAGGGUGCAAGCGUUAAUCGGAAUUACUGGGCGUAAAGCGCACGCAGGCGGUUUGUUAAGUCAGAUGUGAAAUCCCCGCGCUUAACGUGGGAACUGCAUUUGAAACUGGCAAGCUAGAGUCUUGUAGAGGGGGGUAGAAUUCCAGGUGUAGCGGUGAAAUGCGUAGAGAUCUGGAGGAAUACCGGUGGCGAAAGCGGCCCCCUGGACAAAGACUGACGCUCAUGUGCGAAAGCGUGGGGAGCAAACAGG
rnacentral:rRNA from 1 species